rnacentral:rRNA from 2 species
CGGGUGAGUAAAAAGGGGGCAACCUGCCUGUAAGACUGGGAUAACUUCGGGAAACCGGAGCUAAUACCGGAUAAUCCUUUUCUACUCAUGUAGAAAAGCUGAAAGACGGUUUACGCUGUCACUUACAGAUGGGCCCGCGGCGCAUUAGCUAGUUGGUGAGGUAACGGCUCACCAAGGCGACGAUGCGUAGCCGACCUGAGAGGGUGAUCGGCCACACUGGGACUGAGACACGGCCCAGACUCCUACGGGAGGCAGCAGUAGGGAAUCUUCCGCAAUGGACGAAAGUCUGACGGAGCAACGCCGCGUGAGUGAUGAAGGUUUUCGGAUCGUAAAACUCUGUUGUUAGGGAAGAACAAGUACGAGAGUAACUGCUCGUACCUUGACGGUACCUAACCAGAAAGCCACGGCUAACUACGUGCCAGCAGCCGCGGUAAUACGUAGGUGGCAAGCGUUGUCCGGAAUUAUUGGGCGUAAAGCGCGCGCAGGCGGUCCUUUAAGUCUGAUGUGAAAGCCCACGGCUCAACCGUGGAGGGUCAUUGGAAACUGGGGGACUUGAGUGCAGAAGAGAAGAGUGGAAUUCCACGUGUAGCGGUGAAAUGCGUAGAGAUGUGGAGGGAACACCAGUGGCGAAGGCGACUCUUUGGUCUGUAACUGACGCUGAGGCGCGAAAGCGUGGGGAGCAAACAGGAUUAGAUACCCU